CAAGUUGACUGAUGCUGAACUCAAGCAAAAACAAGAGAUCAACUGCCAUGUGUCAUGGUCAGUCAUAUCAGCAGAGAGUGAAAAAGCAUUCAACAAGAAGGUCAAGCCUCGUGUGUUCCGAGGAACCUUAUGCUCAAGAAAGUCUUGCCUUUCGUACCCGAUUCCAGGGGCAAGUGAACUCUACAAGCUAUGAACGUCCGUACGUUGUCAAGAGAGCCUUUUCAGGCGAUUUUCAGACACCUACAACAAUGGAUGAAGAGGUUCACUCGUC
rnacentral:lncRNA from 1 species